AGGUGCUGUGGUACCACCCUGCAGGGCAGUGCUGCCCUUAUCAAGCACACUGAAGUUGCAGAGGGUUUGCUUUGCUUUUUCCUUCUCUGCAGAGGGGAAAAGAGUUGAAGCCUACGAAGGCCCAAGGCGCCAUGUAACCCCGUCUCUUUCUGUUCCCUCCAUGGUGGUCUUCUGCACCUUUCCACUGGAAAUGUCAUUCACUGAGAGGCUUCCAAUUUCCUUUGUCUUUUUCCUGACAUCUGUUUUUAUGGUACCCGUGUUUCUGCAGUUUUGCUGCAGACAAAAUGAAUUCAGUUUUAUUCUUGCUUUACAGCAAGAAGACAAUGAAAAGCAAGAAGAGUGGAACUGAAGAAGGCUGCUCUGAGAGCUGCUGCUGCACAUGCAGAGUUCUCCGCAAUGAACAGCCUUGUGGAGAUGAUGCAGAAGCUGCAGCUGAAGGACUGAGAGGAUGAGCAUCAGCAGGCAGCGCUGCAGUGCGGCGUUACAGGGCAGCGUUCCGAGUGCCACCAACUCGGCACCACAAGUUUGGUUGUAGUCAAUAAAAAACAGCCACAAUUAGACAUCGACAAAGAGCGCAUGGCCUGAUUUGUCCCAUGGCAUUCCAUGAGCUGCUGUACUCCUACUGGUCCAGAGUAGAACCUAUGCAGCUUUGGAGCACCAAGCCGCCAUCCUGGCACGGUUUUUGGAGGCAGUGCUCAAAGGUCUGGGCUGUAAUACCCCUGACAAUGAAAACACAACUUGCAUUUUAACGCAACACUGCUGUGCUUUGUACCAAAUCAGUGCUCCUUGGGUCUCUGAGGUAGGACAGAGUGAAGGGGAGCGGCGUAAAGCUGUGUGCAGGAAAUCUGAGGGUGGGAGGGCACUGCCAAAACCAGCUGGUGCAUCUCUGUGCAGUUUUGCCUUCCCAGGAGGAACCCAGAGCUUCCCAGUAGUUUUCUGCUCCUGUACUGCAGUGUGAGCAUAAGGUUCUGCUGCCUCCUUCUUCUGGAAGAUCCUCUGCUGCCAUGGACAUCUGACACAGGCACCUGUCCUUUUCUGUUUGUUUUUCAAUCAGGACACAUUAUGCCUGUUGUGUUUGCUGCACGUUACUUACCAAAGUCACCACGAAAGGGUUUUGAUUUUCCUGCAGUCAGAUUUGCUCUCACGUAACAAGCUUCUAUAGCAAAGUCCAUCUGACUUUUGAAAUUAUUUUGUUGAGGUUCAAGACAUUCUAUUCUUUAUAGUCUUUAUAACACCACCCUUCCCUCCUGCUUAUAAGUUCCCAUUUAAUUACUGGAAGGCCACAUCAGGUUUCCCCAGAGCAUUCUCUUCUCCAGACUGAACAAGCCCAGCUCUCACUGCUGGCUGUGGUGAAGUUUUUCAUCCACCAGGACGCUGAAGUCCUUCUCAGCAGGGCCGCCCUCCAUGAGUUCUUCUCCCAGCCUGCACACAUAUCUGGGGUUGCCCUGACCCAGGUGCAACACCCUACACUUGACCUUGCUGAAUCUCAUUAGGUUCAGGUGCUCCCUCCCACAUGAAGCUUUUGAAACAGCUUUGUGAAGAAAUGAAAGAACCUUGAGAACAACAAGAGUUCUUUCAGGCUGGACAUUAGGAAAAACUCCUCCAUAAGAGUGGUUGGGCCCUGGACAGACUGCCCAGGGAGGGACUGCAGUCAGAUUCCCUGGAGGCAUUCAGGAAAUGUUUAGGUGUGCGUAUGGGAACUGCUAAGUGAGAGUCUGAACCUCUGAUUGAUCACCUGAGGCGAGCCAUGAGUCAGCCAGAGGAGCACAGUGAAGGCCAUUCAGCUGUGCUGCCCUCCUGGACGUAUUUAAGAGCUGGCUGCCAGUGGGGAAGGAGCUCUUCUGGAGAUUGGCCCUGCUGGAGUUUUGUGAGUGAGCCCUGGGUAGGGCCAAUGAUUUUCUGUACAAGAGAAACUACUCAAAAAACAGGACAGUUCUUCUCCCGGAUGCAUACCCUGGGGAGGAUUUCAGUGCUUGGCUGACGGAGUUUUUGGCCGUUCUGUGGCAUGGAAUGCAACCAGCAUGGAAGCAUCGUUUGUCGCUGUGGAUUCUGAGUAAGAUUUCUCACCCUCUGCUCAUGAUGCAGUGGUGACCAGCUCAGAUGUGUUGGAUGGUAUCGUGGACGUUGAGGAGCUGCUCACCUGGAUCAGCGACGUGGCAGGUGCUCUCGAGGAUCCCUAGGAGAACCAAGGUGGUUACAAAGUCAGAGAGAAAUACCUGAAGGGUGACCUGCUUCAGGACGAGCUGCUGGGGGAGGUAGACAGCCAGGAAAGAGAACAACUCAUUGCAUGGAUCAGUGCCACGGAGCCACAAAGCCCUGAUGUCUCCAGCAGGCCUGCCCCUCCUUGCUUCAUCGCCCAGCUCCUCGACUUCCCACAGUACAGCAGGAGGUCAGCGAGGAAGCACGGGCUGCUGCCUGGACCCCCCCGACCCACUGUGGGGGCUGCUGCCAUCCCUCGGGCAGCUCUCCAUGCUGCAGGGCUGGCCUUUGCUGCUGCCUGCUGUGGCACCACCAGAACUACCACUGCCGACCCCUCUGGCUGCUUCUGUGCCUCCUUUGCUCCACCCUGCACAGCGCGUGGAUGUGGUGGAUUUCACAGUUGCUUGUUUUUUAAAGCAAUCUCUUAUGGGGAACCAUACAGAAAAACUCA